GGGUGCGUAACGCGUAUGCAACCUACCUUAAUCAGGGGGAUAGCCUCUCGAAAGAGGGAUUAACACCGCAUAGUAUAGUGCUGUGGCAUCACAACACUAUCAAAUAUUUAUAGGAUUAAGAUGGGCAUGCGUGACAUUAGCUAGUUGGUAAGGUAACGGCUUACCAAGGCGACGAUGUCUAGGGGAUCUGAGAGGAUGGCCCCCCACACUGGUACUGAGACACGGACCAGACUCCUACGGGAGGCAGCAGUAAGGAAUAUUGGUCAAUGGGCGGAAGCCUGAACCAGCCAUGCCGCGUGCAGGAAGACGGCCCUAUGGGUUGUAAACUGCUUUUGUACGGGAAUAAACCUCUCUACGUGUAGAGAGCUGAAUGUACUGUAAGAAUAAGGAUCGGCUAACUCCGUGCCAGCAGCCGCGGUAAUACGGAGGAUCCAAGCGUUAUCCGGAUUUAUUGGGUUUAAAGGGUGCGUAGGCGGCUUAUUAAGUCAGGGGUGAAAACUUGCAGCUCAACUGUAAGCGUGCCUUUGAUACUGAUGAGCUUGAAUACACUAGAGGUAGGCGGAAUGUGACAAGUAGCGGUGAAAUGCAUAGAUAUGUCACAGAACACCAAUUGCGAAGGCAGCUUACUAUGGUGCAAUUGACGCUGAGGCACGAAAGCGUGGGGAUCAAACAGGAUUAGAUACCCUGGUAGUCCACGCCCUAAACGAUGAAUACUCGAUGUUAGCGAUAUACAGUUAGCGUCUAAGCGAAAGCGUUAAGUAUUCCACCUGGGGAGUACGCCCGCAAGGGUGAAACUCAAAGGAAUUGACGGGGGCCCGCACAAGCGGAGGAGCAUGUGGUUUAAUUCGAUGAUACGCGAGGAACCUUACCCGGGCUUGAAAGUUACUGAAGUACUCAGAGAUGAGUGCGUCCUUCGGGACAGGAAACUAGGUGCUGCAUGGCUGUCGUCAGCUCGUGCCGUGAGGUGUUGGGUUAAGUCCCGCAACGAGCGCAACCCCUGUGAAUAGUUGCCAGCAUUUAAGGUGGGGACUCUAUUCAGACUGCCUGUGCAAACAGAGAGGAAGGAGGGGACGACGUCAAGUCAUCAUGGCCCUUACGUCCGGGGCUACACACGUGCUACAAUGGAUGGUACAGAGGGCCGCUACGUAGUAACACGAUGCCAAUCUCAAAAAGCCAUUCACAGUUCGGAUUGAGGUCUGCAACUCGACCUCAUGAAGUUGGAUUCGCUAGUAAUCGCAGAUCAGCAAUGCUGCGGUGAAU
rnacentral:rRNA from 1 species